CACAUUGGGACUGAGACACGGCCCAAACUCCUACGGGAGGCAGCAGUAGGGAAUCUUCCACAAUGGACGCAAGUCUGAUGGAGCAACGCCGCGUGAGUGAAGAAGGCUUUCGGGUCGUAAAACUCUGUUGUUGGAGAAGAAUGGUCGGCAGAGUAACUGUUGUCGGCGUGACGGUAUCCAACCAGAAAGCCACGGCUAACUACGUGCCAGCAGCCGCGGUAAUACGUAGGUGGCAAGCGUUAUCCGGAUUUAUUGGGCGUAAAGCGAGCGCAGGCGGUUUUUUAAGUCUGAUGUGAAAGCCCUCGGCUUAACCGAGGAAGCGCAUCGGAAACUGGGAAACUUGAGUGCAGAAGAGGACAGUGGAACUCCAUGUGUAGCGGUGAAAUGCGUAGAUAUAUGGAAGAACACCAGUGGCGAAGGCGGCUGUCUGGUCUGUAACUGACGCUGAGGCUCGAAAGCAUGGGUAGCGAACAGGAUUAGAUACCCUGGUAGUCCAUGCCGUAAACGAUGAAUGCUAGGUGUUGGAGGGUUUCCGCCCUUCAGUGCCGCAGCUAACGCAUUAAGCAUUCCGCCUGGGGAGUACGACCGCAAGGUUGAAACUCAAAGGAAUUGACGGGGGCCCGCACAAGCGGUGGAGCAUGUGGUUUAAUUCGAAGCAACGCGAAGAACCUUACCAGGUCUUGACAUCUUUUGAUCACCUGAGAGAUCAGGUUUCCCCUUCGGGGGCAAAAUGACAGGUGGUGCAUGGUUGUCGUCAGCUCGUG
rnacentral:rRNA from 1 species